GAUGAACGCUGGCGGCGUGCCUAAUACAUGCAAGUCGAGCGAAUGGACGAGAAUUUCGCUUGUCUUAUGUUAGCGGCGGACGGGUGAGUAAUACGUGUAUACCUGACCUAUAAGACUGGGAUAACUUCGGGAAACCUGAUCUAAUACCGGUUAAUAGGGUGAACCGCAGGGUUCAACAGUGAAAAACGGUCUUGCUGUCACUUAUAGAUAGAACCGCGCUGCAUUAGCUAGUUGGUAAGGUAACGGCCUACCAAGGCAACGAUGCGUAGCCGACCUGAGAGGAUGAUCAGUCACACUGGAACUGAGACACGGUCCAGACUCCUACGGGAGGCAGCAGUGGGGAAUAUUGGGCAAUGGGCGAAAGCCUGACGCAGCCACGCCGCGUGAGUGAAGAAGGUCUUCGGAUCGUAAAACUCUGUUAUUAGGGAAGAACAGAUGUGUAUGUAUCUGUGGACAUCUUGACGGUACCAAAUCAGAAAGCAACGGCUAACUACGUG
rnacentral:rRNA from 1 species